UAUAAUAUAAUAUCAAAUAUAUAUUUGCUGUAUUUAUUCAAAUUGUAGACUCCUUCAUCUUCUAUCCCCAUGUGUUGAUUUAAUCUUGUUAAUGCCAAAAACCAAGAAAAGCUGCAGCAAACAGUGAUAGUAGUCUUAAGACUCAAAUAAACUAAUAAGACGAAUAAUCAUGAAUAUAUAUUGUAUAAAUAUAAAAUACAAAUCCAGUGUUUUUACUUUUUCUUAAAAUAAUGCUCUACUAGCUGCUAGGUGUUAAUUUAAUAUAAUAUAAAUCCUGAAAAAGUAAUUAUUUGAUU